GGUCACAUCACGUUGAAACAACGGUUCCCGUACGAUCACCGAAGUUAAGAAACACCGAGCCUGGUUAGUACCUAGUUGGGUGAUCGCUUGGGAAUAUCAGAUAGUGUA